rnacentral:rRNA from 1 species
UUGCCUACGGGAGGCAGCAGUAGGGAAUAUUGCUCAAUGGGGGAAACCCUGAUGCAGCAACGCCGCGUGGAGGAUGAAGGAUUUAGGAUUGUAAACUCCUUUUGUUAGAGAAGAUUAUGACGGUAUCUAACGAAGAAGCACCGGCUAACUCCGUGCCAGCAGCCGCGGUAAUACGGAGGGUGCAAGCGUUACUCGGAAUCACUGGGCGUAAAGAGAGCGUAGGCGGGGCAAUAAGUCAGAUGUGAAAACCUGUAGCUUAACUACAGAACUGCAUUGGAAACUGUUACUCUGGAGUGGGG